UAAAGAUUCUGAUGGUGGUUUUU
rnacentral:misc_RNA from 1 species